GACGAACGCUGGCGGCGUGCCUAAUACAUGCAAGUAGGACGCAGUUGCGAACGGGUGAGUAACGCGUAGGUAACUGCCUAUUAGAGGGGGAUAACUAUUGGAAACGAUAGCUAAUACCGCAUACUAGUAGAUGGACCUGCGUUGUAUUAGCUAGUAGGUAGGGUAAUGGCCUAACUAGGCAACGAUACAUAGCCGACGUGAGAGGGUGAUCGGCCAAAAUGGGAUAGAGACACGGCCCAGACUCCUACGGGAGGCAGCAGUAGGGAAUCUUCGGCAAUGGGGGGAACCCUGACCGAGCAACGCCGAGGGAGUGAAGAAGGUGUUCGGAUCGUAAAGCUCUGUUGUUAAGGAAGCGGUACUUAAACAGAAAGGGACGGCUAACUACGUGCCAGCAGCCGCGGUAAGUC
rnacentral:rRNA from 1 species